UUCAAAGAUGUAGCUUAAAAUUAAGACUAAAUUACAGAAAAUUCUUUCGUCAAUAACCGUCUUUUUAUUUUUUUUCCUCUGUCAUUCAAAAAUCUAUACUUUAUCCCUUUAAAAACUAAAAAAUAUUUACAAAAGAGUACGGUGUGACAAAAUGAUCAAAUUGCUUUCAUCAUCUUCGUCUCCUUCCAAAUCUUGCUCAUCCGCGCCUCUCUCGACCCUAGCUCUGACUCUGUUUUCUCCACCUACUCCCCUACUCCUCUAGCACCCUCGCCACCCCUCUAUUUCGGCGACUGUAGGGAGAAGAUCGUGGUGGAUAUGGACGGAAAAGGUGGGCGAGGGCAAGGGCGAAUGUAAGGCAGCGGAGGAGGGGGAGGGUGUGUGUCUAGGCACAGACAGAAGUGCGCGAGAGCAAGGGCGAGGCGAGAGCGAGGGUGAGGGCGAGGCAGCACGACAUGGCGAGAAUAUCGGUGAGGAAGGAGAAGAAAGAUGAGAAUGUUAAGAGUAUUUUGGGUAUAAGAAAUAAGGUAUAAACUGAACCCUAACGGAACACUGACGACGGGGACGAAGUAACCAUUUUUUAUUUUUUAAAAAGAUAAAGUGUAGAUUUUCGAAUGACAGGGGGGAAAGUGAAAAAAAUGAGUAUUGACCGGGAGAUUUUCUGUAAUUUAGCCUAAAACUAAUUAAAAUUAUCUACUAACUAUCUUUCUAAGAAUAGAAAGAAUAUGAUUAUUGUUCACUUUUUCU
rnacentral:lncRNA from 1 species